CGUUCGGGGGGCACGUAUGGGAUUAAGUAGCACGUACGCAAGAUAGGCCACACGUGCGACGGUACGUGCGCGUGCAGAUGUAGGUCAAACCUGCGAUGCGUACACUACCGUGAAGGAAUGGACUGUCAGUGUGGGAUGUGUCGCGACGAUGUUGAGCAGCUCACAUGGUUGGAGCAUCUCCCUGAUUUUCGGCUCACCGGCACCUCUAGAAAUUUGUU
rnacentral:lncRNA from 1 species